UACGUAGGGGGCAAGCGUUGUCCGGAUUUACUGGGCGUAAAGAGCGCGCAGGCGGUCGAUCAAGUCGAGUGUGAAAGCCCCCCGGCUCAACUGGGGAGGGUCAUUCGAAACUGGUCGACUCGAAGGCAGGAGAGGGUAGUGGAAUUCCCGGUGUAGUGGUGAAAUGCGUAGAUAUCGGGAGGAACACCAGUGGCGAAGGCGACUACCUGGCCUGUUCUUGACGCUGAGGCGCGAAAGCUAGGGGAGCAAACGGG
rnacentral:rRNA from 1 species